GAAGUCAGACAUCUGCAGCCCAAAAGAGGGCCCUCACCAGAACCCAACCACGCUGGCACACCAAUCUUGAACGUCCAGCCUCCAGAACUAUUCCUUCUUGGUGGAAUGGAAAUAACAACCAUCUCACUCAUAAAGCUACUAUGAGAGCCACUUGGGAUAACAUCAGAGCAAGCCUUUGGAAGCUGGGGAGAGUUGUAUAAAAGCAAGAUCUACGUCCCCUGAACAGAGCCUCGCAUGCUUUAUUCAAUACUGCCAAAUGUGCAGAUUCAGCGAGGCAUUGGAAAUGGCAAGCAUGAAACAUGACCUAGACGAUGUCCAUUUAGAUACGGAUGAUUGAAGCGUUACCAUAGUGUGGUGACCGUAAGUGCUGCUCACCAAACAGUUCCUGUCUCUGACUUCUGAGCACAUGGCAGACCUCUGGCCUCCUGCACUGGGUAAGGCUCAGCAAACAGCUCUGGUCAUUGGAUUGUGAGCAGGAGUGUUAUAUCUGGCUUCUGGACAGGGCAUUUAACAAUGCCACGCAAGACUCUCUAGAGCACUCACUGCUCUGCCGAGGUGACAGGCAAUGUUCCAGACUGGGGUCCAGAGAGAGGAUGAAGACAGCAUAGAGCAGCACCCCACUCCUGCCAACCAGCAAUGGAUACGCAACGUAAGCAAGAAACAAACCUUUUUUGGCUGUUUCUCAAGCAUGGGAUGGAGUCUUACUCACCUCUGCAACCCUGCAAUGCCUUUUGUGGAAAGGGCCUCAAUCAGACCUCUAGAAGUGUUGACAAACAGCAGACAUCACACCCAACCCCGCUGAAAUCAGACCCAAGAUAACACAUUUCUUCCAGCAGAUCCUGGUGAUCAUCCACCCUAACCAAUAAAGAAUCAUGCUCAAACCCGUGCUGGAUGGCUCACAGUCUAGUUUCACUUGCUCAUAGCGUACUGUGCGCAGAAGCCUUGCACCCGGAACUUCACACCCCAGUUCAUAGCGUGAAACGUCUGCGCCCAACACCUCAGCUGGGCAGGCUGCACACUCCACCUCAGCCCAAGAUGGCGGCAGCCUGUGUGCAGAGACACUGCACCCGGCACUGGAGAG